rnacentral:tRNA from 1 species
GGCGACGUAGCUCAGUUGGCAGAGCAGGGGACUCAUAAGCCUCGUGUCGGCAGUUCAAGUCUGCCCGUCGCCA